GACAGAGGCCUCGAGCGUUAGGCGGAAUCACUGGGCUUAAAGCGUGUGUAGGCGGGCCCGUAAGUGUCUUGUGAAAUCCCCCGGCUCAACCGGGGAACGGCUGGGCAUACUGCGGGUCUUGGGCCGACUAGGGGCAGCCGGAACAAGCGGUGGAGCGGUGAAAUGCGUAGAUAUCGCUUGGAACGCCGAAGGUGAAAACAGGCUGCUGGGGUCGCGCCGACGCUGAGACACGAAAGCCAGGGGAGCAAACGGG
rnacentral:rRNA from 2 species